GAACUAUUAAUUAUUAUUAAUUUAUUAUAUUUAUAAUAACUUGAGUCUUGAAACUUAAAAGUAGAAACUCAACAGUCCAAAUGAAUUCACACAAGUCUUUCAUCAAACAAUUUUUAUUUAAAAAAUACCCCAAUAUGGCUGGUAAUUCAGUUAUAAAUACAAGGCGUUUUACUAAAAUAAUAUACCUACAAGUAUUUAUUAAAAAGAAAAAUAAGACUGUUACAGAUAUAUAAAUAUAUCACAUACAAAGAAUGAUGAUAGCGAUGUUAGUGUAUUAUUAAAGGGAAUCUUCAAUACUCUAAUUGUAACUGUUCAAUACUUUUAUCUAUUUUCUUAUUUUUAACCCAUCGGCAUAGAAAAUCUCAAUAAUGAAUAUUCCAUCGAUGAAGAGCCUAAUUUGGAUGAUGAAGAAGAAGGUAGUGUUAGUUCAGACGAAGAUGACCCUGGAGUAGUGGUUAUUUCCAGUGGAAGUAGUGGAAGUGAUAGUAGCACUUAGGCCUGGAUAUUGAUGAUCUCUGUUCUAACUUUUGGUCAAUAUGUCAACAGCAAACAUAUAUGUCAACAGUAAAAUGUUUAGCAGUUAUAUUUUGAAUUUUUUUCAAAUACAUCGGUUAUAAUUUUUAGGUACCAAUAUUUUCGAAUAGAUAUUACAUAUAAAUAUUAUAUAAUCAAAAUGUAUUGCACAUUCUUGAGUCCUUCCUUUUAGUCCCAUUGACUAUUCUGUAAUGUUAUUACUUAUUAUAUUAUUAUUUUAUCGGUUUCCUAGCUUUUAAAGCCUUUUUUACUCCCUGGUUUGACUAUAGUUUAGAAACUAACGAUUUGGGCAAACAAGGAUUCACCCAAGUUUCGAAAAAAAAAAUGGCAUAGCUGCUAAAAUAUAAAUAAAUAAAUCAUGAAUAUUAUGACGAAUAAUAAAA